UUUCUGAAAUGUCUUUGUAUUAUAGUGAAGUUUGAGCUUUGCAGGAUACAAAGAAGAAGAAAUCAAAGAUGUGCACACAGCAGGUAGUUGUACAGAGGACGUCAGCUGAUGGAGCAGAGGGAGGCAGACUGUGGAUGAAUGAGGAGGUGAAGGCCUGCAGGCGGGUGGAGACAGAGGAGGAUGUUUCCCUCAAAGAUGCUUGUAGGUGGAUCUGACUGUGGCCAAUCAACACCUGCGCCUUGCCGCCCUGAUCAGAUACCCAGCUGGGAUAAUGAGCUCGCCAAAGGAGAAGACUGAAAGCACUGACACGAGGAAGGAACGAGUCAGAGGACCAGUGAGUGUCAGCAGAACCACUGUUCAGGACGAGACCACAGACAUCAGCCACAACUGACCGUGUACUUAGUGAAAACCUCAGACAGCAGAAAGCAGAGAAAGAGGAGGAGCAAGGAGAGCAGCCAUGAUGGAAGGACAGGUAUGAAAUCCGAGUACUGACAGGGCAGCAGGACAGAUC